ensembl:lncRNA
CCAAUAUCUGGGUGGUGCCGGGGUGCUGGGGUGAUGGCAGAGCUUGGGAGAAAUGUCAGGGCUAGAGAGAAGUGCCGGUGGUUCUGGGAAGGCAGGAGCCUGGGCCCAGGGGCCUCUCUCAGGAGGGAGCAGGAAGGGACCCGGAGGGAGUGACAUGGAGCAGAAGGGUAGAGACUCAUUCAAGCAGAACUCAGGCUGUGCGCACCUGCUCAGGACCACUGUUCUGACCUCUGGCCCUCUUAUCCCGCUGCUUAGGCCCAAAGAUGGCCCACACCGGGACCCUCCCCCUAGGAGUGUUCACAGCAUGGAGUCAGGCCCAGCAGCCACUGAAGAGCCCGGACUCUGGGACCUUAAGAACUCUGCCAGAGCCCAAGAGCCACCUUGAGAAGCCUCUGUCCUGUUGCCUUGCCUGCAACCCCAAGCAGGUCAAGUCUAGAAGCCAAGAUCCUGUCUCUGGUGAGAGAGGGGCUCCUGAGAUGAGGAUACUUACAGACAGGCGACUGCUGACAGCCACCACAAGAACUUGGUCUCCCAGGGGCAGAGCCAGUGAAUCACACUUCCUGCACUUUUGCAGCCUGCAAGUUUCUUCCCUGAGUCGAGCUCUGCCCCACCCACUUCAGGACCCCGGAGCCUUAUCAGAAGAUGCCCAAUGCUGCCCCAUUCCCUAUGGCUGGGGGGAUUCUGGUAGGGUAUAUAUUCCAGCCCAAGAAUCUAUCAGUCCAAGGAGCAAAGGUCAUGUAGUCACCGACGUCCUGUCACCAGGGGAGGCUGGGUCAUUCUGGGCAUUGGGAGAGGUCUCUAUCCAGGGAACUUGGGUGUCUCUGCAUAUGUAUUUUACCUAGACCCAGCUCUGCAGAAUCCAGUGACUGCUGGGCCAGAAGCCUGGGCUCCAGGGGCCCUACAUUUCAGAUUGAGUCUACUUCCCUGGAGCCUGGCCCUUGCAAAAACAAAACAAAACAAAACAAAACAAAACAAAACAAAACAAUCUGCAAAAUCCUUGGGAUCCUCCUCCCUCCCUUUUCCUGCCAUGUCCUCCAGAUGCUUCCUCAGCCUCACCUCUGUUAUUGGUCCUCCAUCUGAGGUUUUGGAGGAGUGUGGUUCUGCUGUAGCCCUCUCACUUUGGACAUUACUCAGCCUUCCCUCCAUUCCAUGGGAGGGGACAGUGGGAGCUGUUUUAAAAAGGGUACCAAAGUAGAAGUCAGAAGAAAGAUAUGCUGACCUCAAGCUUCUGUGAGUCUUUUCUGUAUGUAAAUUCAUCCCCAUUGGGGCUCCCUGAGGGUCCCGAGGGGUGGUGGCUGGUGGGUGGAGCCUCAGAUGGCAGCUAUGGCCCCAGAUGUACCUGGGCAUAGGACAGUGUUGCCUAGCUUGAAUGAUCCCCUUGCCCUGUCUAUUCUGCCUCCCUUGGAAGUUCUCAGAAGUCACUUAUUCUGUCCCCAUUCUUCAUGAAAGAAUUGCUGAGUGAUCUUCUGUAUCAGCCAGCUGUUGCUGCAUAACAAAACCACCCCCAAACACAGUAGCUUAAAAUAACCAAUUCUGUGAAUUGGUAAAUUAGGUUAAACUCAGCUGGUAGUUCAUUUGGGCUCAUAUGUUUGCAGUCAACUUCUGGCCAGUUGGGCAAUUCUGCCUCUGGGUUUGGCUACCUAUUGCAUAGACUGAUGAGGACGAAUAGACUAUGUACCCAUAGCUUGUUUACAUGACAGCUAAGGAGGGUUCUAAAGAGCAGGACCAGGAUUAGGGUAAGGCAAGUGAUGCACUUACCUUGAGCACACACACAAAAGGCAAUCAAGAUAAAUAAGAUCUUAAUGCAAUCUUUUACAGGAUCAAAAUUAAAACCAAAAAAUCAAUGAUGAACAAAAUUUUAACCGAACAUCAGAUCAGUAACAGUGUCAUGCCAAGUCAUGUUGGAACCUGAGGCAGAAGGAAAAAUUCAUAGUAGUGAUCCUGUCUCAUCCUAGCCCCAGCCCUGUCAGAAAGUAAGUGGAAGCUUGUGAGGCCUCUGGAAGAUUCUAUGACUGGCACAUUUUACUUCUAUAACAUCCUAUUGGCCCAAGCAAGUCACAGGGCCAGCCCAGGUUCCAGGGGUGGGGAGAGUAACUCUUCCUCUUGCUGGCAGAGCAGCAGGAUCCUGCUUCAGAGGGCAUGAAGACUUGGGGAGUUUUUGCAACCAACCAGUCCUUGCAUUGGCAGCAGAGAAGAGGCAGCCCCAGAGGUUGAAUGAGAUGGUUUUCUAAAGCUGCCAUCUGUCUUAAUUGUACCCACAGGAUUCUGAUUUAUAAAGAUGGCCUGAGUAAUGACAUGGAGAGGUUAAUGCCACUGAAAGAAGUUUUUAUUACACACAAUUCCCAAGAGAAGGGAUCAUGCUAUGCCAUGCAGGAUCACAUGGGGAAGCAGGAGGUUUGGCCAGGAGGCCGAAGCAGGAGUGAGGGGAGAGCCUAGGAAGGGCAAAGCAUGGCUCAGGAUUGGCCAGGCAUGGGGUACAGGGAUGGUCUUUAAUUGUCAGGUACCUGGCCCUGUGGUGAUUUAGGGCAGGGCAAAUACUGGCUUGGUAAGAGCUAGAAAAAAGGCGGCGCUUGUGGGUAUAGACUCAGAAUUGGUUGGUCUGCACAUGAAAGACAUAUUCAUAGGCAAAUUUUCAUUAACUCUAGGAAUUAGCCAGCCCAGGAAGGGGCAGUCUCUCCCCCAGACACCAAGCUCCACCACCCCAACCAAGAUGUCAAACCAUCAUAAAAUGCAAAAAAAUAAAGAACAUCAUUAAUACAUCUCUCCACACUCUCAUCCAUCAGGGAGGUGUCUGGACCCCAUGGGACUCCCACUCAUAUUUCAUGUCUUAAAAUGCCUAAAACUGCAUGAUACGGAGAAAAACCUGCAUGAUAAAAAUUGAAUGAUCAAAAGCUGGAUUUACCAUGAAAGUGGUACUUUGAGGGAAAUUUAUAGCCACAGUAUCUUUUACACAAAGAGAGCUAAAAGUCAGUGGGAUAAAGGUCCAAGUUAAGAAGUUGGCUCAGGACUAGAUGAUUUCACUGAUGAGUUCUACCAAACAUUUAAAGGAGAAUUAAUGCCAAUCACUUUCAAACUCUCCCAAAAAAAUUCAAAGAGAAGGAAACACUCCCAAAUUCAUUUUAGGAAACCAGCAUUGUCCUGAUAACAAAGCCAGAUAAGGACCAUACAAGAAAACUACAAAGCAAUAUUCCUGAUGAAUACAGAUGCAGAAAUUCUCAACAAAAUAUUUAAAAAGUGAAUUCAACAGCACAUUAAAAGGAUCAUAUACCAUGGUCACGUGGGCUUUAUCUCACGUGAGAUGCAAGGAUGGUUUAACAUAUGCAAAUCAAUAAGUAUGAUAUACCACAUUAAUAGAAAGAUUAAAAAACAUAUCAUCUCAAUAGAUGCAGAAUAAGCAUUUGACAAAGUAUGGCAUCCUUUGGGGCGCCUGGGUGGCUCAGUCGGUUGAGCGUCCAACUUCGGCUCAGGUCAUGAUCUCGCGUGUUGAGUUCGAGCCCCGCGUCGGGCUCUGUGCUGACAGCUCAGAGCCUGGAACCUGCUUCAGAUUCUGUGUCUCCCUCUCUCUCUGCCCCUCCCCUGUUCAUGCUCUGUCUCUCUCUGUCUCAAAAAUAAAUAGAAACAUUAAAAAAAAUUUUUUUAAAUAAAAAAAAAAAGUAUGGCAUCCUUCCAUUAAAACCCUCAGAAAAUUGGGUAUAGAAGGAGUAAACCUCAACAUAACAAAGGCCAGAUAUAACAAACCCUAACAUGACAUCAUAUUCAAUGGUGAUUGGUUGAAAUCUUUCCCUCUAAGAUCAGGAACAAAAUAAGGAUACUUAACACCAACCACUCUCAUUAAGCAUAGUGCUGGAAAUGCUAGUCG